GCAGCAGUGGGGAAUAUUGCACAAUGGGCGCAAGCCUGAUGCAGCCAUGCCGCGUGUGUGAAGAAGGCCUUCGGGUUGUAAAGCACUUUCAGUCGUGAGGAAGGUGGUGUAGUUAAUAGCUGCAUUAUUUGACGUUAGCGACAGAAGAAGCACCGGCUAACUCCGUGCCAGCAGCCGCGGUAAUACGGAGGGUGCGAGCGUUAAUCGGA
rnacentral:rRNA from 1 species